ACCAACACUGACUCCCACCAACCUCCUCCUCCCCCCGUUACCGUCGUGAAACUCUCCGCCGUCUUCCACACGCCACGCCCCUCCUCCCCCACCCCGCCGCGCACAGCUCUAUGAGGGUCCUCUUCUUCAAGUACGCCACUGCGCCAGCUUCUCAUGUGCUGCACCCCCCGCACCGGAUCUGCCCACCCCAUGCGGGAUUCGAUUGUCCACGCCUGCGAGCGUGAGGGAGGGCCCAAGUCGCUGCCCACCCGAGUUCGAGGACGACGAGACGACGAGCCGCCGUGCUAGCGCGGGAUUGGUCUGAACUUUGGAUGUGUUUUGCGUUGUUUUCCUCUCCUUUUUGUGUGUGAGCACACGAAGAAAUCGGCGAAGCAUGGAGGGGCCUAGAUGUGUCAGAUCUGCGGCGAUGGAGUCGGCACGACGGCGGACAUUGGGCUCUUCACCGCCUGUGACGUCUGUGGCUUCCCGAUCUGCCGCCCCUGCUAUGAGUACGAGCGCUAAGACGGUACCUAAGCGUGCCCCCAGUGCAAGACCAAGUACAAACGACACAAGGGCGAUCCUGUGGUGCUGCUGGUAGGAAUUUCGUUGCCAGCUAUUUGUGGUGUCGGAGAUGAUCUGGCUACAGAUGUACGUGGCGUUCAGCCUGCUGGCGAUGGUGUCGCCCGAUGUACUAAUCCUUCAGCUGUCGGGAGCAGUUCUACCUGACGAUGGUCUACCUCUCGACCUCCAAGAGCUGUGUCUUGCUGCUCCUCAACACGGGCCUCAUUGCCGUGUGCGCCUCAAUGAGAAGCUAUACUAGAUUCGGGUAUAGGUGGUGUUGGUAGUGUUGCUGCGGAGAUGUUCAAUACAUGUGGAAUUGGAUGCCUUCUGUUGUAUGACUAUGACACAGUUGAGUUGGCUAACAUGAAUAGGUUGUUCUUUCGUCCAGAACAGGUAAAGUUCCUGGCUUAUAUGUGUAUGUGCUUUCCAUCUGCUUUCUGUUUUCUAAUCCAUUGUCAGUUGUUUGCCUGAUUGCUCCUGAAAUCUUAUUUCAAUCUAUGGAUAUUAUCAGAAUUAGUUCUGAAGAGCAGGUAUUUAUCUGGUUAUUUAAUGAUUGCUUCAUAUUUUCUUCUGUUUAAAAAGACCGGCUGGAGUUUUUCUUUGACUACAUGCUUAUAUUUUAUUUAGGAAGCUAUCUUUCAUGUUGUUGCUGCUAUUCUUCACUGGGGGAAUGUCGAGUUUGCAGAGGGGGAUGAUGUAGAUUCAUCAAAACCAACUUUUUUUCCUUCUUUUAGAAACUGUUAAAUGGGUUACAUCUGACAUUAGAACUCCAAUUGUCAUAUUUUAGGUGUGAUGAGAAAGCUCUAGAGAAUUUCCCUUUUAGCACCAAGACAUUGAGAAAAAAAAACAAUUAAAGAGACAACAUUAUUCACAAACUCAGCAUUACCGAACUUAUAUGGAGAGACAACAUUAUUCACAAACCCAUGCAGAGAUUGGAAUAAUAAUAUUCCCUUUUUUGAUAAUGAUGGAUUUCUAUUUUUUUAUAUGGAGUUGAACUUCUAUUGGCUUAUUGUGUGGUAUUGUUUUAUGU